rnacentral:rRNA from 1 species
GGAGGAUCCAAGCGUUAUCCGGAAUCAUUGGGUUUAAAGGGUCCGUAGGCGGUUUUAUAAGUCAGUGGUGAAAUCUGGUCGCUCAACGAUCAAACGGCCAUUGAUACUGUAAGACUUGAAUUACUUGGAAGUAACUAGAAUAUGUAGUGUAGCGGUGAAAUGCUUAGAGAUUACAUGGAAUACCAAUUGCGAAGGCAGGUUACUACAAGUAUAUUGACGCUGAUGGACGAAAGCGUGGGGAGCGAACAGGAUUAGAUACCCUGGUAGUCCACGCCGUAAACGAUGGAUACUAGCUGUUUGGAGCAAUCUGAGUGGCUAAGCGAAAGUGAUAAGUAUCCCACCUGGGGAGUACGCUCGCAAGAGUG